UCGUGCUAGACGGGGAGCUAGCGGUGCCCUGUAACCCACAACCCGCUCCAGUGGGGUUGAAUUCCUUGCCGCGGCCACCUCUCUUCUGGCCCGAAUUCGAGGAGGAGGCGAUGAGGGUCAGGGCCCUCCGCGAGGCGUCGCCUGCCAACCCCGCCAGGACCGGAAGGUAGCAACGGUAGCAGGAAUGAUUCCUGGGCGUGAGGUCGCCUUGCCUGAGCCGAUGACUCGAGUUACGCAGGGGAGGGGCUGGUCAGAGCAAGGUGCACGA
rnacentral:SRP_RNA from 1 species